GCUCUAUUAAGUUAGUUUGCAAUUUUGCUCCAUGUGGAUUUUUUUGAAAUGGUACAGUUGACAGUAAUACUAGGAACACAAUUGGUGCGAACGACGAAUUUCGCCCUACGCGGCGACAAAAUGAGCCGCGAAAAUUCGUCGUAUGGAACACAAUACCGACGAAAUUAUAAAACAGCUGAUAAAGUUGUUUACUUUUUGCUGAUUUGUUGACUACAAUGAAUCAGAGAAUUGUAAAGUUAAUUAAAAUUGUUAAAAUAAUAAACAUAAUGCAUAUUAUAGUAAAAGCUUAUCUGCUUGUGCGAAAACGUUUACGGAGAAGAUGGUGGAUACGGCCAGUGAACAUUAAAAGAAACACCGAAGGAUUCCAGAGAAUGGCUUUUACGGAGCUAAAAUUAAGAGAUGAAGAGCACUUCUUUAAAGCUACAAGGAUGACCGUGGAGAAGUUUAAUGCUCUUCUAGAUUUGCUUAAACCACGAUUGCAAAGAUUUUCAAAAAGAAAGCCAAUUGACGAGGAAACACGUUUGGGCUUAACUCUAAUAUACCUAGCUCAUGGUUGCAGUACACAGUUUUUGGCAUGGACAUACAAAAUGGGUGUUUCGACUGUGAGAAAGAUAAUUUAUGAAACUUGCGAUGCGAUCUGGAGCGAGCUCCAUGAGGUAUAUGUUUCCCAACCUAAUCACCAUAAGUGGAAAAGUAUUGCUGAAAGGUUUGGAAACUUAAAUGUAUAGUGUUAAAUAAAAUAAUAAUAUAUGAUAUAUUUAUUUGAAAAGAUUUUACACGAAAACAGGCAUGCCGCAUUGUGUUGGGGCUAUUGAUGGCAAGCAUGUCAACAUCUUUUGUCCAAAAAAUAGUGGUUCACUUUUUUAUAAUUAUAAAAAAAGUUUCAGCAUUGUGCUAAUGGCGGUAUGUGACGCGGAUUAUAAUUUUAUGUUUGUUGAUGUUGGAGCUUUUGGCAGCCAAAGUGAUGGUGGAGUCUUUGCAAGAAGUUCGUUUGGAAAAAUGAUUUUGAGAAAUCAAAUUAAUCUUCCCCCUGGUGAUAAACUACCUGGCACUGAUAAAACGUUUCCGUAUUUCUUUGUGGGAGACAAUGCUUUCCCUUUGAAGAGAAAUUUAAUGAGGCCAUAUCCUGGACGAAGCUUGUCUGCCGCUAAACAAAAUUUUAACAAAAAGUUAUCUGCCGCUCGUGUAUACAUUGAAAAAUCUUUUGGCAUUUUAAAA